CCUUUGUACACACCGCCCGUCGCUCCUACCGAUUGAAUGGUCCGGUGAGGCCUUCGGACUGGCUCGAAGAGGUUGGCAACGACCACUUCGAGCCGGAAAGUUCGUCAAACUCGGUCAUUUAGAGG
rnacentral:rRNA from 1 species